GCCUCGAUAACUGGCCGCAUCUCAUUCGUAAUGAUGGGGUCAGGUGUUCGAGUCACCUAAGCGGCACCA
rnacentral:tRNA from 1 species